AUCUUGGCUGAGGGCAAAGACGCUCCUGGCGCUCCCGUCUUUCGGCUUGCCUCAGUUGCCACUGCCAUCUUGGAUCAGGCUUGGAUUAGUUCAAUGUAGCCACCCUCUCCAGGCCCGCUGCUUCUGCCAGCUGGAUGUUGCGUCGUCCCUCGCUAUUCGCCCUCCUAUAAUCACUGCUUCCAUGUUGAAUCAAAACAAUUAUGCUUUCGUUCUCCCUUCUUCAAUUGCCCUAUCUUCACACCUGAACACUAUUGCUCCGGUAUCCUGCCAUUUUGGAUCAGGGCGGUUGACGGUGGAUUCACUUCCCAUCAGCCCUUGAGGCUGCAGGGACCAGCCCUUUGUGGAGAAGCCCAGGCGGCCUAGAAUCCAGUGUCGUCCGUGAGUGCUUGGCUGGUGUUCAAGUGCAUCUUCCAGCCUGAGACCGCGUGGACUCGCUCAUCGUGAGGGCGAGAGGAGGAUAAGCCCAUUGGGCUGUCGGCUGAGAGUGAGGUGCGGGAUUGCUGAUGAAAUCCUUGGCAUCGUCGGAGAUCUCAUCGAAUGCCUCGUCGUCGAAGUCCCAGGUGGCUGAGGUAACGUUGGCCAAGGUUUCGUUAUCGUUGUCUCCCAUGAAGGGGGAAAGGCCACUGACUCUGGAGAGACAAGAGCAGGACAGCAGGUGUGGCUAGGAGAGGGCGCGACGACCAGAUGAGGGAAUUGAGGCACAGCCCAGGCUCAAGUCACCUGCCCAAAGAUUCACAGCCAGUGAGAUUGGAAGCCAGGUAUCUGCCUCUAGAGCCUGUCCUCUUAAAUGCUAUACUAUCCUAACAUUUCUGUAAAGAUGAAGUAAAUUGCAGUGUUCAGCACUGGCACCAGGCCUGGUCCACAGUAAGGAGGCGGUCCAUGCCCGGAGAUCUCAUGCAGUUCUGCUGGGUUCCCUCCACUGCCUUACCAAGCUGUGAGUGCAGGAAUGACUUUGUGACCAGCAGCUUAAGCCAAAUAAACUUUAUAAGGUAAAGAAUUUCAAAACAAAAUAGAGCAGAUUUGUGGCUUACUGACCUUACCUCUCACCUCUGUGCACCUCACCUUCAUAGCAACAACUCACCCCACUGUUCAUGAGGGCCUUGUGAGUCAGCCUCAUGGGUGUUAGACCAGCACAGUUGCCCACAGUCCCACCCUUAGACAGGCCCUGUGCUUGGUUUAAUGCUCUGCUGCUGUCGUCUCAAGAUUCUCAAUAAGGUUUGAACAAGUGGCCCCACCUUUCAUGUUGCAAAUUGUGUAGCUGUUCCUGCCCUGAUCUCAGCUGAGCCCCAUGAGAUGGGUCUGGGGGCCAGGCGUGGUGGCUCAUGCCUGUAAUCCCAGCACUUUGGGAGGCCAAAAUGGAUGGAUCACCUGAGGUCAGGAGUUUGAGGCUAGCCUGGCCAACACGGUGAAGUCCUGUCUCUACUAAAAAUACAAAAAUUAGCUGGGCAUGGUGGCAAGCACCUGUAAUCCCAGCUACUCGGGAGGCUGAGGCAGGAGAAUUGCUUGAACCCUGGAGGUGGAGGUUGCAGUGAGCCAAUAUCGCACCAUUGCACUCCAACCUGGGCAACAAGCGAAACUCAAUCUCAAAAAAAAAAAAAAAAAGAGAGAUGGGUCUGGGGCCCUCCUGCCAUCAACCUGUCAAGUUAGGGCUUUACCAAUGUCCCUUCUCCCAAAUGCUUAUGAAUCCAUCAUCAUAAGCCAAGCACUGACAGCUU
rnacentral:lncRNA from 1 species